rnacentral:lncRNA from 1 species
AUCUAUUUUUUUUCAGUAGUAGAUUUUAGAUUUUGCAUACACCUAUCAUGUAUAUUGCAGAGAAGAGUAAUUUGACUCCUUGAAGAGCAGUGAGGGCAUUGUUUAUCUGCCAGAUGGAUCAAACUGUGUGAUCAGAGAUAUCAAAACGGUCAGCUGGAAGAUACAUGAUGGUAUAGUGAGAAGAUUGGUAGAGGUCCAAUACAUAUCCGAUUUCAGGUGGAAUCUUAUUUCACUAAGUAGACUGGAUUCAAGAGGCUAUAGGAUAGUAGCUGGUGAAGAAAUCCCGAAGGUGUUGCACAACAAUAGGAUUAUUCUGAAGAAAAAAAAGAGAAUGAGAGGAUAUUACUAUCUAGCAGGGAGCCCAAUGCGAGGUGGAGCUUCAAGAGCCAGAGGAGCACAGAGCAAGGUGGAGCUCCAAGUGGUGGAUCAGGCAUUAGAUGGGAGACUCAAAAGGAUGAGAGGUGAUACCACAGAGUGAAGUUUCUAUUACUGUAAGAGACUUUUUCGAGUAGGUCUUUAGUCAGAGUGGACAGAGCUCAUGAUGGAGGUGGGAUCGAGUGGCCUG